GUAUAGCACUGCAAGUCGAACGAUGAAGCCCAGCUUGCUGGGUGGAUUAGUGGCGAACGGGUGAGUAACACGUGAGUAACCUGCCCUUAACUCUGGGAUAAGCCUGGGAAACUGGGUCUAAUACCGGAUAGGAGCGUCCACCGCAUGGUGGGUGUUGGAAAGAUUUAUCGGUUUUGGAUGGACUCGCGGCCUAUCAGCUUGUUGGUGAGGUAAUGGCUCACCAAGGCGACGACGGGUAGCCGGCCUGAGAGGGUGACCGGCCACACUGGGACUGAGACACGGCCCAGACUCCUACGGGAGGCAGCAGUGGGGAAUAUUGCACAAUGGGCGCAAGCCUGAUGCAGCGACGCCGCGUGAGGGAUGACGGCCUUCGGGUUGUAAACCUCUUUCAGUAGGGAAGAAGCGAAAGUGACGGUACCUGCAGAAGAAGCACCGGCUAACUACGUGCCAGCAGCCGCGGUAAUACGUAGGGUGCGAGCGUUAUCCGGAAUUAUUGGGCGUAAAGAGCUCGUAGGCGGUUUGUCGCGUCUGUCGUGAAAGUCCGGGGCUUAACCCCGGAUCUGCGGUGGGUACGGGCAGACUAGAGUGCAGUAGGGGAGACUGGAAUUCCUGGUGUAGCGGUGGAAUGCGCAGAUAUCAGGAGGAACACCGAUGGCGAAGGCAGGUCUCUGGGCUGUAACUGACGCUGAGGAGCGAAAGCAUGGGGAGCGAACAGGAUUAGAUACCCUGGUAGUCCAUGCCGUAAACGUUGGGCACUAGGUGUGGGGACCAUUCCACGGUUUCCGCGCCGCAGCUAACGCAUUAAGUGCCCCGCCUGGGGAGUACGGCCGCAAGGCUAAAACUCAAAGGAAUUGACGGGGGCCCGCACAAGCGGCGGAGCAUGCGGAUUAAUUCGAUGCAACGCGAAGAACCUUACCAAGGCUUGACAUGUUCUCGAUCGCCGUAGAGAUACGGUUUCCCCUUUGGGGCGGGUUCACAGGUGGUGCAUGGUUGUCGUCAGCUCGUGUCGUGAGAUGUUGGGUUAAGUCCCGCAACGAGCGCAACCCUCGUUCCAUGUUGCCAGCACGUCGUGGUGGGGACUCAUGGGAGAAUGCCGGGGUCAACUCGGAAGAAGGUG
rnacentral:rRNA from 1 species